GCAACGAGCGCAACCCUUGUCCCUAGUUGACAGCACGUAAAGAUGGGAACUGUAGGGAGACCACCGGUAACAAACCGGAGGAAGGUGGGGAUGACGUCAAGUCAUCAUGGCCCUUACGGCCAGGGCUACACACGUACUACAAUGGGAAGGACAGAGGGCCGCGAUCCCGCGAGGGGGAGCCAAUCCCAGAAACCUUCUCUCAGUCCGGAUCGGAGUCUGCAAAUCGACUCCGUGAAGUCGGAAUCGCUAGUAAUCGCAGAUCAGCAUUGCUGCGGUGAAUACGUUCCCGGGCCUUGUACACACCGCCCGUCACACCAUGGGAGUGGGUUGCUCCAGAAGUCGCUAGUCUAACCAGACGCAAGUUUGGGGGACGGUGACCACGGAGUGAUUCAUGACUGGGGUGAAGUCGUAACAAGGUA
rnacentral:rRNA from 1 species